rnacentral:rRNA from 1 species
UCGAGGAUCUUCCGCAAUGGGCGCAAGCCUGACGGAGCGACGCCGCGUGUGGGAUGAAGGCCUUCGGGUUGUAAACCACUGUCACUCGUUAAGAAAGGGUCCGGCGUGAACAACGUCGGGCACUGACAAAGGCGAGAGAGGAAGCCACGGCUAACUUCGUGCCAGCAGCCGCGGUAAGACGAAGGUGGCGAGCGUUGUUCGGAAUCACUGGGCAUAAAGCGCACGUAGGCGGCGACGUAAGUUGGGUGUGAAAUCCCUGGGCCCAACCCAGGAACUGCGCCCAGUACUGCGUUGCUUGAGGAUCAAAGGGGUGCAUGGAAUUCCCGGUGGAGCGGUGAAAUGCGUUGAUAUCGGGAGGAACUCCGGCGGCGAAAGCGGUGCACUGGUUGAUUUCUGACGCUGAGGUGCGAAAGCCAGGGGAGCAAACGGG